GGCAGCUUUGGCUUGUGUGAGCGCUCAGUGAGGGCAUCUUCUGAGCCACCCUACCUGUGCAGGCCUCAGUCCAGCAUGAGAACAAAGGGAAGAUCCAAUCACCCUGCAGAGAAGCCCAGCUACAAGUCCUUUCUCUGCCUUAACACAGUUAUGGUGGCUGUAUAGUUAGGUUUGCUUCUGAUCAGAGCUAGGUAUCAUAUGAUCUUGCAAACGUAAUUAAGAAACAGACUCCUUAAUCAGAAGUCUGUUUUACCUUUUCUCUCCAUGUUUGUUUUUAGUUAAGGUAUGUAUGCUAGUUGCUCAGUCGUGUCCGACUCUUUGUGAUCCCAUGGACUAUAGCCCUCCAGACUCCUCUGUCCAUGGAAUUCUCCAGGCAAGAAUACUGGAGUGGGUAGCCAUCCCCUUCACCAACAGAAUCUUCCUGACCCAGGGAUCGAACCCAGGUCUCCUGCACUGCAGUCGGAUUCUUUACUAUCUGAGCCAUAUCAAGAACACAACUAAGGAGUCUGCUCAUCUGGGCUGAAUUCUACUGACAUCUCUUACCAGCUGUGUAACCACAGGUGAAGGAUUGCACCUCUGUGCCUCAGUCUUCUCUGCAAAAUGGCUCCUCUGUCCAUGGGAUUCUCCAGGCAAGAAUACUGGAGUGGGUAGCCAUUCCCUUCUCCAAAGGAUCUUCCCAACCCAGCAAUUGAACCCAGGUCUCCUACAUUGCCGGCAGAUUCUUUACCACUGAGCUACCACGGAAGCCCCAGUUAAAAGAGAGGAUCACGGGCAGAGGUUAAGAAAGAAUUCUGAUCCUGAGCAUCUGCAGGACUUGACAUCCUCUGUCCUAGCCCUUUGUCUCGUGCUCAUCAGAGAACUCCAAUGCUGAAUUUUUUAGGUGCCGUGGGAUGAAAAGACAUGGAACUAACAUGUGCAACCAAAGUGUGUGACUACUGAAGGGAAUAUUGAAUCAAUGGAUCUUAUG
ensembl:lncRNA